AGUGGGUUGGAACCGUAAACCGCAAACCUUUCCGUUAGCAGCAAAACGCUUUAAUUAAUCAGCGCGCAACCAGAGACUCCUUAAAUCCACAGGUUAAACUCAGGGAUUCGGAAACAGAGAAGCAAAGACCUCCAGCGCUCCUAGAGAGGACCCCCAGGCGUAGCGCAGUUCCAGAAGGCGGGGUGUGACGCACUUCCGGCUUUUGGGACGCGGUUCUGGCAGUCGGAGGUCGUAGGUGAGACUCCGGUGCCCUUCGACGGUCAGGCUCACCUCCCUUUUCUAUCCCAGCGCGCCCAGAUAUCUCCGGGGUUCACGGACCCGGAGGUAUAAAAUGCAAAGAGCCUAGAGGAUACCAAGCUCAACGGUCUUUUUAUUUAUCAUUUUUUUAAAGCGGACACGUUUGGUAUGUCUCAAAUGUUUGCAUAUCAACUCCUCACAUCAUCUCAAAUCCUCCCUCCUGCCCGAAACAGUGGUGAAUGAAGAGUGUUUGAAGCGUAGAGAAUAAAAAUUACUUGGAUGCAGUAGGAAAAGAUUACGCUACCCUUUUCCUUUCAGCUUCUUGAAUUUGUGAAGGGUUUUUAAGUGAGCAAUUUAAUUUCAGAAAUUCAUGGAUUUUUCAAUUGUGAGAGGUUACAGUGCCUGACUUGGAGGAAUGAGUAAUGAAGGGAGUUUGUAGGUGGUGCAGUGGAAAGUGAGUUGGGCCAUUAGGAAACAGGUCACCAGUACUCUGCCAUUGAUUCCUCCACAUGUCUGUCAAUUUGUCGAACUGUGGAGGGCUUGUGUGUUGCUGUGAUGCUGGAAGCUGUGCCACCAGCAGGGUCACCCAUGGCGGACAGGUUUCAGCUGAGCUUCCAGACUAAGACAGACUAGGAAGAAGGACCUGGCAAUCUACUUCUAAAAAGAAUUAGCCAGUGAAAACCUUAUGAGUAGCAGUGGAACAUUGUCUGAUAUAGUGCCGGAAGAUGAGCCCAUCAGGUUGGAAGGCACUCAAAAUUUGAGUGGGGACACAGUGGCUGCAACAAUGCGCUCAAGCAUAGCAACAAUUGGCAGGACGGCGCAGGACGGGCAGAGUUUCGUUCUUUUGUCAUAGGGUCACUAUGAAUCGGAACCGACUCGAAGGUGCCUAACAACAACAACUGCCAUUGAUUAGCAGGAUGAUCAUGGACAAAACAUGCAGAGCCACCAAGUUUUAAGUUUUUCCUAAGUAAAUAAACUGGAUAACCUCAGAGGGCCCUUCCAACUUUGUAAUUCAUUGGAAGAGUGAACUUAACUGAAUAAUUCUGCUACAGCAAAACCGAAUGUCCAGCCUCCAUUUCCUGCACAGUGUCACCAGGACACAGAAAGAUAUUUUCAUCACUGAGAGAGGCCGUUACAAGGCAGAGCACCAAAGAAGGCAUUAUACAGGCCAGUGCUAGGCAGAGUCUAUGCAUUUAAUACAUGAACGGUAGAGAAUGCAUUGUGAGCAAAUCAAUAAACGCUUAGUGUUUGCUGGAGAAAUAGAUUGAUUACACAGGGUUGUAUAAUGGGAGACAUUAAGUAACUUACCACAGGCACAUAAUUUAUUUCUGUAUUUUAAACCUGUGCUGCUUUCACUGCUUUAUCACACAAAAAUCUGACAGCUUGAAUAUAGUAAAAUCUCUUUAUAAAUGACAUGCCCAUUCAAGUAUUGAAAUGCCAAGUCUAUAAUGAAUUUGUUGAACUUUCUACAAAUGGGUAGAAAAUAGUGAUACUAUGCUUAUUCAAACAAAAAAAGUUUUUAAUGUCUAUUGGUUGCAAGGAAACCUGGUGGCGUAGUGGUUAGGAGUUUGGCUGCUAACCAAAAAGUUGGCGGUUUCAAUCCACCACGUGCUCCUUGGAAACCCUAUGGGGCAGUUCUACUCUGCCCCAUAGGGUCGUUAUGAGUCAGAAUCAACUGGACAGCAAUGGGUUUGGUUUUUGUUUUUGGAUUGGUUGCAAGAAAAUAUGUUAAGAGGUGAAAGCAAAAGACAAUCUUUACUUUUGAGUAGCAGUUUAGUUGAGAUAAAACUGAAAGCAUUAAAAAAUAAAUUUCAGGGUUAAAAAGAAAAAACCAAACCCAUUGUCAUCAAGUCAAUUCCAACUCAUAGUGACUGUAUAGUAUAGACAGAGUAGAACUGCCUCAUAGGGUUUUCCGAGGAGUGGCUGGCAGAUUCAAACUGCUGACCUUUUGGUUAGCAGCCAAAUGCUUGACCACUGCACCACCAGAGCUCCAAACUUCAGGGUAAAGCAAAACCAAACCCGUUGCUAUCGAGUUGAUUCCGACUCAUAGCGACCCUAUAGGACAGAGUAGAACUGCCCCAUAUGGUUUCCAAGGAGCACCUGGUGGAUUUAAACUGCUGACCUUUUGGUUAGCAGCUGUAGCUCUUAACCAGUACACCACCAGGGUUUCCAAUUUCAGGGUAAGAGCUAUCAAAAUAUUACAUACUUAACCAGUGUUGGAGAUAACUAAUGAGUUUAAAGGCAAGAGAGGAUUGGGUGCUGGAAUUGUUGUCUUUCUACAGCCACUUCCCCAGAAGGAGUCCGAAAACACUCCAGGAGGCUCUUUAUGAGUCAGGGAGGUGUGGCUGUGCUCCUGACCUCAGCCCUGUCUCUUUGAGUUUUACUUCCUCCUUGGAGAACCUUAAUUUUGAUUCAUAUGUCACUAUGAGGGAAGGCUUCUAGGAAUGUUUUAUUUCCCCCACCCGCCUUUAAAACUUUAACCCAUAUGUCAAAAACUAAGAUUCCUUUCCUUUGAUCUUAAAAUACCUGACACAGAAUGGAAUUUUCAGAAAAUGUAUCACUAAAAAUGAAAGGAAAUGAGCAGAUACUAUAACAGUUGGAAGAUGAGGAUAAUAACCCACCACAAAUGCUGAGAAAGAGAAAAUAAAUUUUUUAAGAUGAGGACAAAACAAAAAGAGGUAUCAGGAAAGGUUUAAUGGGUGUCAAGAACGGGUAGAAUUUAGAGAGAGAGUUGGUGGAAAAGGUUGUUCCAGGCAAAGGGACGAAGAUGGGAAAUCAGAAUGUGUUGAGGAACUGUGAGGAAGCCAGCUUGGCUCAAGUAUAGGACCUGUGAAGAAGUAGGAGGUAAGACAAAAAGGUGUAAUGUUAUGGAAACCCUUGAAUGGGGGUGGGGGUUAUGCUUAAUUUUUUACAGGAAACAGUAGUAUGAUCGGACCUCGGUGUGGUUUGAUUUGGAACAUGAAGAGGUUGGAGCUAGGAAAAGCAAACAAAAUCAUUGCAGUAAUCUGUGCUAGAGGAAUAAGAGACUGUCCUCAUAAAACAUAUUCUAGGACAGAAAGGACAGCCUGCAAAACAGACAUUAUUCGAAUCAAAUCAGCCAGUUUCUUGAAUCUGAAUAAUGACUGCUGAAUCAAGGGAUACUACAGGCCUGUCCCCUCAAUCUACCCAGGAGAUGGAAGGCAUAGUGAUAGUGAAGGUGGAGGAGGAAGAUGAAGAUGAGGAAGACCGUUUUCAAAGGGAAAAAAAUAAUGCAAAGUUAUCAUCACAAUUUCUUAGUCGUUCUACAACUAUGAAUGAGAGAGCCUUAUUAUCAUCAUAUUUAGUUGCAUAUCAAGUGGCAAAAGAGAAAAUGGCCCACACAGCUGCAGAAAAAAUUAUUCUUCAGCAUGUAUGGAUAUGGUACGUACAAUUUUUAAUGAUAAAUCCGCUGAUAAGAACCAUACCUCUUAGUGAUAAUACAAUAUCUCGUCGAAUCUGUACUGUUGCAAAACAUUUAGAAGCAAUACUUAUUACACGGUUGCUGUCUGGUAUAGAUUUUGCAGUCCAACUUGAUGAGAGCACUGAUAUUGCAGGUUAUCCAACACUUUUGGUUUACAUCAGAUAUGUAAGGCAAGACGAUUUUGUAGAGGAUUUGUUGUGUUGUUUAAGCUUAAAUUCGCAUGUAACUGGAUUAGAUUUAUUUUCUGAGUUAGAAAAGUGUGUUAUUGGUCAGUAUAAAUUAAACUGGAAAAAUCGUAAAGAAAUUUGAAGUGAUGGAACAGCAGAUAUGACUGGAAAACAUAGCAGAGUUAUAGAAAAAUUACUAGAAGCAACACAUAACAAUGCACUUUGGAAUCACUGUUUUCAUCAUCGAGAAGCUUUGGUAUCCAGAGAGAUCCCACCAGGUCUAAUGGAUGUAUUGAAAAGUGCAGUGAAAAUUGUUAAUUUUAUUAAAGGAAGUUCAUUGACUAGUCGACUUCUUGAAAUAUUUUGUUGAGAGGUUGGAGUUAACAAUACCCAUUUAUUGUUUCAUACAAAAGUCCGUUUGUUGUCUCGAGGAAAAGUAUUAAGCAGAGUGUAUGAACUCAAGAAUGAGAUUUACAUUUUUCUCAUUGAAAAGCAAUCUCAUUUGGCAAAUAUUUUUGAAGAUGAUAUUUGGGUAACAAAAUUGACACAUUUAAGUGAUAUUUUUGGCAUUCUUAAUGAAUGAAGUUUGAAACUACGGGGAAAAAUAAUGAUAUAUUUCAAUAUCUCGAACAUAUUCUAGGAUUCCAGAAAACAUUAUUAUUGUGGCAAACAAGACUUAAAAAUGAUCGCCCUAGCUAUUAUAUGUUCCCAACAUUGUUGCAACACAUUGAAGAAAACAUUAUUAAUAAAGACUGCUUAAAAGAAAUAGUUAGAGAUAUUGCUGCAUCUCACUUCUUUGUCUCAAACCUUUAAUCAUUACUUUCCAGAAGAGAAAUUUGAAUCAUUAAAGAAAAAAUUUUGGAUUAAAGAUCCAUUUGCUUUUCAGAACCUAGAAUCAAUAAUUGAGUUAAACUUGGUACCUGAGGAAGAGAACGAAUUAUCGCAGCUCAGUUCGUCGUUCACACUGAAAAACUAUUACAAGACAUUGUUUGUUGGCAUUUUGGAUUAAGAUUAAAAAGAAUUUCCAUUACUAAGUAGAAAAAGUAUAUUGCUAUUAUUACCAUUCACAGCUACUUAUCGGUGUGAACUAGGAUUUUCAAUCUUGACAACGAUUGAAAACAAAGAAAAGAAAUUGGCUCAAUAGUGCACCAGACAUGCGUGUAGCAUUAUCUUCAUGUGUUCCAGACUGGAAUGAACUUAUGAACCGGCAAGCAUACCCAUCACAUUGAUAAAAUCUUUAUGAAAUGUUGUCUUUGUACUUUCUUAGGGAUUUUUUUUAUAUGUUGUAUUUAAAUAUUAAUAAAGUCUUGGAAUUAAAUAGGUUUUUAUUUUCCUACAUAGUAACAGUAAGUAUUUCAUGAAGUUUGUUUUCAUGAUGACUGUAUGUGCAUAUGUGUAUACCAGGUUAUGAUGUAAAAAUACAGUUCUUCCUGUGGGUUACUGUCAAGAAUUUUUUUUAAUAAUGCUUUUAACACUGUUAGUUUUAUACUCAGAUCUGUUCCUUUCUCUGCUGCUGCAGCCUUGCUUCUUCCUCUGUAGUAGAGCCCUGUUUAUGUUCACUUAUUCACCGUCUACGUGCCUAUAUGUGCUCUUCUCUUCUUGUUCUGAUUCCAUUAGGUGAGCCUUAAUGCUAAUCAUGGUUUAACAUCAUCCUCCUUGUCCCUGGUUUUUUAGGCAAUGAAGUGUAAAAGGGUAGUCUACCUGGUAUUUCUAUGCAAAGGUUUCCCUUGCACUCCAAAAACAGGACACGAGAGAUAUUGAUGAUAGUGGCAUAAUUUUUUUAUUCUCCCCAAAUCCUCCCUGUAAAAACACAGAACACCUAGGAUAGCAAAACUGAAACUCAUGAGGCAAUAUCUACAGCAAAACUAGGUGAUAGGGUAUCCCCACAAACCCUAAAAUAUGGUGAGGACAAACUACCAACAGUUAUGAAACUAAUAUGGUGUCUUGGUUUCCUAGUGCUGCUGUAACAAAUACACAAAUGGGUUGCUUUAAAGAACAGAAAUGUGUUUUCUUUCACACUUUAAAACCCAUUGCCUUUGAGUUGAUUCUGACUCAUAGUGACCCUAUAGGACAAAGUAGAACUGCACCACAGGGUUUCUAAGGCUGUUAAUCUUUACGGAAGCAGACUGCCCCACCUUUCGCCCAUGGAGUGGCUGGUGGGUUCGAACCACUGAACUUUUGGUUAACAUCCAAGUGCUUAACCACUACACCACCAGGGCUAAACAAACAAACAAAAAAGUUGCCAUCAAGUUGAUUCCAACUCAUAGCGACCCUUAGGACUGAGUAGAACUGCCCCAUAGGGUUUCCAAGGAGCAGCUGGUGGAUUCAGAUUGCUAACUUUUUGAUUAUCAGCCAGUCACUUAACCACUAUGCCACUAGGGCUCCACCCAGCAGGGCUAGCCGUCCAAAUUCAGAGCACCCACUGUAGAAGAAAACUCAGCUCUGGGGGAAGAUCCUUGUCUCUUAGCUUCUGUAUCCCCAGUGUUUCUUGGUGAUCGGUGAUCUUCACUUGGCAUCUGUCUUCCGGUUUGUGCUUGCAUGUUUCUUUUUCCGUGUCUAAUUUUAUAACCCAGAGCUGAUUAGGUUUAGGACACACUCUAAACUGGUAUGGACUCAUUAACAUAACAAAGAGAACCUGUAUUCCAAAACAGGAUUACUUCCACAGGUAUAGGGGUUAGGAUUCCAACACGUAUUUUGGAGGGACACAAUCCAUAAUGUGAUCUUAAGCCAUUGUGCAAGAGGAAGUGGAGGAAAGCAUCAGACGUCUGACAGACCUGAGAAUGGCAAAAUAACAGGUGCUCUGCAAAAUUUUAAUAAGCCAAUUUGAGAAUGGCGGCUGAAAUCUGAAGGAGUUUGCACACUUCAAUAGAGGAUGAGCAUUAGGGCCUGGUGAUAAAGUCUGGGAGCAGUGUGGGCUACAGGAACUUUCAAAACUAACCAGCCAACUUCUGAGGUUACAGUCUCAUAGUGAGGAGAAACUGCUGGAAAGAGAAUCCAAAUUAGUAACCAAGACAAGGGGAACAGUCAAAGUAAAAGAAGCUUAUCUUCGUGUCCCCGAAGGUUGCUUUGUUUAAAUUUGUCUGCCCGGACCAAGAGUUGUCUGGCCCAGUUGAUGAUUGGCAUUUGGCUGUUUCAGGAUACAAUUUUGUACAGGCAAACCAUUGAAAUUCUUGUGGGGCCUUCACAAUCUAAAACCCUGCUUUUCCUGGGGCAAACACCUGUUUUCAUGUUUUCUCACAAUAACAAAACUAGUAUGUUUAUUUCUCUAGCACAGUUUCACCAGGGAUAAUUUGAAAUUGCAGUGGUCACUUUGGGGAAACUUGAAAUAAACAAAUUGUUCACUUGAGAAGUGCCUUAAACAAAAAGGAAAAAACCCUUAUGAGAUUUCAGACUGACUCCUGUGUUCCUUUGACAACUCCCCAUCAUUUUGAUUUUAGAGUACUUCCUUACUCUGGCACUACAAGAUGCUCCAGGCUCACCUUGUAUUUUCUGUGCCCCAGCACUGAAAUAACCCUUUUCUUAAAGGCUUUUAAGUUAUACCUCUGUUAAAUAUUUUUUUUACAAUGGUUGUUCUAGGCUUUACAAUAUGUAUCUUUAACUUAUCAAGUCUAUUUCAAAAUAUUAUAUCACUUUACAUAUAGUGUAAGAGCCUUUUACUUAUCCUCCCUCCCAUCCUUUGUCGUGUUACAUUUUAUUUGUACAUGCUAUAAACCCCACAAUACAUUGUUACUGUUUUUGGUUUAGACUUCAAUUAUCUUUUAAUGCAAUACAUAUAAGAAAAUAUAUUUUAUUACCUUCAUCUUUACCAUUUAUGGUGCUCUUUGUGUAGAUCUAAAAUCUGAUAUCUCACUCUCCAAAAUGUUAAACUUCUGAGGAGGAGGAGCCAAGAUGGUGGCUUAGUCACAUGCACUGUAAAGAUCCCCUGCACCAAAUACCAAAAACACAAGGGAAACAGAAGCAGAUAAUAAUCCAGGAACCCUGAGCAUCAAAAAACAAAUUAAGGACUGAACUGAACACCAGUUGGAAGGAAUAAGGAAAGGGGCAAAUGGAGGAGCUCAGCCAGCUGUCCCGGCCUGCUAAGGCUAACUUAGGAUAAAGCCAGCAGCAACCUUGGGUGAAGAAAACAGCAAGGCAACUGGACAAAUUUCCCAAAAAGAACAGAGAACCUCUAUGGACACGGAAAGAAGCAGAGACAGGGAGGGUGCCAGAUCCAGAAUCAGAGAUUUUCAGGAGCGGCAGUCCUUGACCUCAGUUCAGUGCACGCAGGAGGCGGUGGACUCAUAGGGUAUCAGUGGGAGCUCUCCCACCCAACUGAUCCCUGGGCGGCACUGCUCCUCACACUCAAGAGAGGACAGGUCCUGCUUGCUGGCUGCAAUGGACACAAGGUGUCCUGGCCAGAGGGACACAUUCCAUCCUGAUCAGAGGUGGCAGAGGGUCCCAUACCCUGACCCCUU